rnacentral:rRNA from 1 species
CAAUAGCGUAUAUUAAAGUUGUUGCGGUUAAAAAGCUCGUAGUUGGAUUUCUGCUGAGGACGACCGGUCCGCCCUCUGGGGUGAGUAUCUGGCUUGGCCUUGGCAUCUUCUUGGAGAACGUAGCUGCACUUGACUGUGUGGUGCGGUAUCCAGGACUUUUACUUUGAGGAAAUUAGAGUGUUUCAAGCAGGCACACGCCUUGAAUACAUUAGCAUGGAAUAAUAAGAUAGGACCUUGGUUCUAUUUUGUUGGUUUCUAGAGCUGAGGUAAUGAUUAAUAGAAUAGUUGGGGGCAUUCGUAUUUAACUGUCAGAGGUGAAAUUCUUGGAUCUGUUUAAAGACGGACUACUGCGAAAGCAUUUUGCCAAGGGAUGUUUUUCAUUGAUCAAGAACGAAAGUUAGGGGAUCGAAGAUGAUUAGAU